GGGCCGGUAGUUUAGUCUGGUAGAAUACCUGCCUUGCAUGCAACUAGCAGAGGAAACGUAGGUGGUCGUGGGUUCAAAUCCCACCCGGUCCAC
rnacentral:tRNA from 1 species